UGGAACCCCAAAAAAGAUUUGCUUGUCAAAGUUAAAUUGGUCCUGUCCUAGGUGUAAUAACAAGAAAAACCUUGUAAAUUUUCCAUAAACCUAGGCACUCAAAACACCAAUGAUGUUCAAUAAACUCUCAUUAUUUUUAGAAGCUAAUUAAAAAGGAACAUCAGCAGCAUGAACAAGGUAUGUCACGGCCAAGGCCAACAACAUUAAUGCACAUGCAAUCCCUUGGUCAAUUGUUGUACCGUCGCUUGCUGGAGCAGGUGCCGGAGCUAAACCCUCUUGUGCCUGAACGGCCGGAAACAGGACCGAGCAAAUCAGAGCAAAUACUACAACGAAACUGAAAAGCAACUUUCCAGAUCUCAUUGUCAUUUUUGUGCUAAUCUCUCUUUUCAAUCAAUUCCUUUCUUCUUCUUAUUAUUAUUCUCUCUGCGAACAGCCGACGACGAAGAUCUCGAAAGAGGGC
rnacentral:misc_RNA from 1 species